rfam:Gossypium hirsutum cultivar TM-1 unplaced genomic scaffold scaffold2592.1, whole genome shotgun sequence
AACCUAUAGUGAGGGCACCAUCUCAAUAAAUCCUUAUACCUCUCUCAUGCAUCAUAUAGAGUAUCUAAAUUGAUCUGCAUAAAGGAGGAGAUAUCAUUCCUCAACUU